rnacentral:rRNA from 1 species
GGGGGGAGCAAGCGUUGUUCGGAUCUACUGGGCGUAAAGGGCGCGUAGGCGGCGCAACAAGUCACUUGUGAAAUCUCCGGGCUUAACCCGGAGCGGCCAAGUGAUACUGUCGUGCUAGAGUGCGGAAGGGGCUACUGGAAUUCUCGGUGUAGCGGUGAAAUGCGUAGAUAUCGAGAGGAACACCUGCGGCGAAGGCGGGUAGCUGGGCCGACACUGACGCUGAGGCGCGAAAGCCAGGGGAGCGAACGGGAUUAGAUACCCCGGUAGUCCUGGCCUUAAACGAUGGAUACUUGGUGUCCGGGGUUACAUAGUCCCCGGGUGCCGGCGCUAACGCAUUAAGUAUCCCGCCUGGGGAGUACGGUCGCAAGACUG